rnacentral:rRNA from 1 species
UGACUCUCGGUAACGGAUAUCUCGGCUCUCGCAUCGAUGAAGAACGUAACUAAAUGCGAUACUUGGUGUGAAUUGCAGAAUCCCGUGAACCAUCGAGUCUUUGAAUGCAAGUUGCGCCCGAAGCCAAUAGGCCAAGGGCACGUCUGCCUGGGUGUUACA